rfam:Glarea lozoyensis ATCC 20868 chromosome Tnknown GLAREA8, whole genome shotgun sequence.
GUCGCGAUGCCAGAGUGGUUUAAUGGGCCAGUCUGCUAAUGUUGCCUUUACGGCACAGCGAACUGGUUUGCGUCGGUUCGAAUCCGGCUCGCGGCA